rnacentral:rRNA from 1 species
GACGUAGGGCGCGAGCGUUGUCCGGAUUUAUUGGGCGUAAAGAGCUCGUAGGCGGCUUGUCGCGUCGUUCGUGAAAACCCGGGGCUCAACUCCGGGCUUGCGGGCGAUACGGGCAGGCUAGAGUUCGGUAGGGGAGACUGGAAUUCCUGGUGUAGCGGUGAAAUGCGCAGAUAUCGGGAGGAACACCGGUGGCGAAGGCGGUUCUCUGGGCCUGUACUGACGCUGAGGAGCGAAAGCGUGGGGAGCGAACAGG